rnacentral:lncRNA from 1 species
AUUUAUUCAAUAAUGCUCCCUACUUAGACAUAUGCAAAAGACAAAAUUUGCAAACAAACUCGGUUGAAGGUUCAAUUAAAACGAAAGAAAUUAGGCUUCAUUUAUUCGCAAAAUUUUCAAUGGAAUUUACACUUAUCAAUCAAAUGAAUCCUAAAACAAGCUCAAAGGGGUUAAACUAAGGAUCACUCCUCACAAGGUUAAUUGAUUCAAAACUUUUUG